rnacentral:lncRNA from 1 species
UACAAGAUCGGUGGUAUUGGAACUGUGCCAGUGGGACGUGUUGAGACAGGUAUCAUCAAGCCUGGUAUGGUUGUGACCUUCGGACCAACAGGGUUGACCACUGAAGUCAAGUCUGUUGAGAUGCAUCAUGAAGCUUUGACCGAAGCUCUUCCUGGUGACAAUGUUGGGUUCAAUGUUAAGAAUGUUGCUGUGAAGGAUAUCAAGCGUGGGUAUGUUGCCUCAAACUCCAAGGAUGAUCCUGCUAAGGGUGCUGCCAGUUUCACUUCCCAGGUUAUCAUCAUGAACCACCCUGGUCAGAUCGGAAAUGGUUAUGCUCCAGUGUUGGAUUGCCACACUUCUCACAUUGCUGUUAAGUUCCAAGAGCUGUUGACCAAGAUUGACAGACGAUCAGGAAAGGAGCUUGAGAAGGAGCCCAAGUUUUUGAAGAAUGGUGAUGCAGGUAUGGUUAAGAUGAUGCCGACCAAGCCUAUGGUGGUGGAGACUUUCGCAGAGUACCCACCUCUUGGAAGGUUUGCUGUGAGGGACAUGCGUCAGACUGUUGCUGUUGGUGUGAUCAAGAGUGUUGACAAGAAGGACCCGACUGGAGCUAAGGUGACCAAGGCCGCAGCCAAGAAGGGUGUCAAGUGAUAUGAUAGGUGUUGUGUUUUGGUGAUCGAGUCUUUUUAUUUUCUGUCUGUUUGGAUUACUAGUUUUGGACAAUCUUAUAUUUUGUUGAAGAGUUUUUGGUAUUGGAUCUGGGAAGUUUCGUUAUGUUGGAAAC